CUUUUUGCAGAUCCCUGCCUACCUGAGACCUUCUGAAGCAUUACAAGGGCACGUUUUUAGGAAGCUUUGGGGCUGCUUAGCUCCCUUCACUCUGUCAGAGGCACUUUUCCAAGAAAUGAUCAAAUUUCAUUCACAAAUGAGUUUCCAGUAGGAAACUGUUCCAGGAACCCAGCUACUAGGAACUGUUAAAAACCUCCAUGUAUAACCCAAUGUGUUCACAGGUGCUGCAUCUUCUUUAUUCUGGUGCCAAAAUUAACCUUAACAGCCCUGUUUCUACCACAGGAGAUUGUGAAGUAACUUGUGGUACACCUGUGUUUUUUGGAGAAAAGAUAAUUCCUUGUGAUUCCAGCAGAAGCAAAUGCAUUUCUAUAGGAAAUCCUGAAUGCAGAACCUGGGCUUUCCUCUGCUUCUUAAACACCAGUGCCUACAGAAGCCCAUCCCCCAGUGCCCAGCACUGCUGUGUCCUGAUUUCAGGUGGGAAAGUGCUGAACAAAGUUCUGGACCAGAAGCUGAGGGCUUCAAUUCUGUCUGCCAUCACUACGUGCCCUCUGACUGAUAGGACAGCUGUUGCUUGCACACACCUGAGCAGAACAAGGAGUAAUGACUGUGCACUCCUGGUUGUGUGAGGAAACACUAAAAGUUCCCAAUAGAAAAUGAGCAGGGAGAAUUGGAGAAUGGGGUCCUCGUGCUUUGUCAGCCAGAAGAAAUGUCUGCCAGGAUCCUGAGCAGCCUACUGCAAGCAGUGUGACCCACAGCUCAGAGAAUCAGAGGAAAAGGUGAGGAAAAACUGAAGACGGCACCAUUUGUUGGGGAUGCUGAUUCCAGGCACUGAAACAGGCUCUGCACCGAGGCUGCCUUGCGUUUGCUGUUAGCAGCAGAUCUCCAGUUGAUUUUAAAAAAAGGACAAAUUCUGUUCUUCCAUCCUGCAAUUUUCAUUGCUGCUGUUUGCCCCUGGCUGACUCCCUGCUCCAUACGUUUUAGUGCUUGAGAAUUUUAGAGUGUGAAUUAACAUUUUGGAGGGAGUCCUAGAGUCAGAGGCAGAAACCUGCUGCUGGAACGGAGUUCUGUGGAGAUGACAGAGGAUGGCGAAGCAAUUACUAAAAGCUCAUUGAAAUUGUUUAAAGAUUUGAUGGUGUUUAAAACAAAUUACCACCAUGGCAGUGGUGUAAAGGGGAGGGGUUAGCAGAGAGCUAUGCAUCUGACACAGCCCCAUUCCUGCUUCCCACUGCUGUGGAUGCACCCCUCAUCUGCUGUCACACAGCGUGCUGCCCAUGCAGGCAGCUCCCCUGCUCCCCAGGCCCUCCUCCCACAGGCAGUGAGAGGUUUUAAAAUGAGAGAUGUUCUUCUCUGUAAGCUGUAAUUUGGUGAAAAAUAGCAGAAAAUUGUAGGUUUCUUAAUUUUCUUGUUUUCAAUUAUUCCUUUACAUUGUUGUUCCAUACAUGUGUAAGGACAAGAAGGUUGGUGUUCCUUACUUGUGAUGGCACGCUUAUAAACCAAUUAAAAUGCUUCUCCCCAUCUUUUGGCUGACCAGCCCCUGGAUGGGAAACUGCCUCUUGGAAUUGUCAAAUGUCUCAAUUUUAAGAAAAGAGAAGUGGUCGCACCCAGGGUUCAUCAAAGGCCCAUCUGCAUCAAAACUGUUUUUAUUUGGCAAAAAAAAAAAAAAAAAUCAAUCAACCCAGCCAACUAAAAAAGAGUUGGAGGAAACAAACACCCGGAGCCUCCAAGCAUGGCCCUGAGUGCUGCCCCUGAUUCUGGAUGACAGCCUGCAGAAUGCACAGCAGCAGUACCCCCACCGUGGCACUAUGAGAGCCAUAUUCCCACCUCUGACAUUCCCAGGCCCUUCUAUCUGCACCAUGGCAGCCAUUACAGCAUGAACUCACAGCGCUUCGUGGUGCUGGGGCGGCCGGUGGGAGGCUCCUGGGGAAGCACUUCCUUUCUCAUGUGUGUUAUCUGUCCUCAUCUGUAUUCCCACAUGGGCUGCUUUGGACUCUCUGCUCUGUUGCAUAAA